ensembl:lncRNA
CCACGUGUGGUAAAGCUUCAGUGAUGAGCUGGAGAAGGCGUUUUCCGCCAGCGAUUGGCCCUCCUGGUGUUAAAGGAUGAGGCGGUGGGGACCGAGGAGCCGAGGCUGACGGGGUGACGACUGGAUCCCGGUUCUUUCUGAGGGGCUUCGCGUGGGACCCGGGAGAGCUCGCUUGGUGCCCCCGGCUGCAUAGCCCCAGGUCCAUCAGUGUUGGCUGGUUUGUCUGCGAACCCCGGUGCCCAGCGGCCCUGUGAACCAUCCCAUUAAGGUGUCAAGAGGUAAACGAAAACAACUAAUUACAAGAGGUGACACAGGAAAGGACAUCUUAAUAUUAAGCAAGCAUUGCAGGAGCUUCAGAUGGAAGCUGAAGAAGAUUUUGUGACAUUCUCAGAUUUCAUGCAGUGAUGCUCCCAUGGACUCAAGAGUGUUAUUUAUCACUCAGUGCUGAAUAGACCGUGGAGAAGAUACGAUCUCUGCCCAAUGAGAUGAAAGGUUAACAGACAUCAGAAUCCUGAAAGCUGCCUUCGUGGUAUAAUUCUUGACUGGUCUGGGGAAGUCUGCGUCUUAGCAACCAUGAAGACUAAGAGAGCCGCCAUGCAGAAGGAAAAAGAACAGACUGGGGAAAAUGGAUAUCAGGUGGCAACUAGAAGUAUCUGCCUCAUUUGUUGAGGAUUGAUGGAAGAUAUAUGAAGAAUGGAAAACUAAAGUCCUGCAAACAGAUGAAAGGUGGAUGCAAAUUCUCUCUAGAAAAAGGAAUUAAUUUACUAAGGAAGACCGGAACGGAGGGAGAAGGACAUCACGGCUAGCUUGCCCUGUGUCCUGGAGGAUGACCGAUGGCACCGAGGACAGAAGCUCUUUGGAUUGGAAAGAGCGGUAAAAUAGGGAGUCAAAUCUAAAGGUGGAUAGGUAGUCCUUUUAUGUGGAGGAAGAUGUGUAUCUUUCAAGAUUUGCUUUUCGAGAUAUUUAUAGAGGAGAUUCUGUGAGAUUCCUGUGACUGGUGACAUUCAGUUCACAACAUGUCAAGGAUUCUGGUCCUCUGAAUCUGCCAAGGAAAGGUGAAGCAGUGUGCAUCGAAGCUAAAAUGAACGCUUCUGUGCGGGGACCAGCAGCCUCCAUAACCCACCAGGCGCUGAGUGCUGCGGGCCGUGGCAGCUGCCAAGUCUGCAUGCAUCCCUAGCAACGCCAGUGAAUGGCAUCCCUGGGGCCGACUUAGGUGAAUCAAAGUUCACACCUUGUGUCUGGGAGGGGAGAUUUUUUUUCAAAGGGUAUUGGCCUUUUGUGCAAGGAAGAACGGAUGGAUGGCCCCUUAAUGGGGGGUCUGUAACUAUCAUAUCUCUAAGGAGGCAUGAGUUUGCUUCCUGCUUUCAAGUACUUAGAGUUCUUCUGUAGUUUCUCUGACCACAGGAAACUAGGCUAAAACUUUGAGAACAGUGUUACAAAAUAGUAGCGAUAUAAUGGCACUUGUGCUUUUUACUUCUAAAUGAGAGAUGUUUGAGGUUGAUAUAUUUUCUCAUUUAAAACAAAUUUUUUCUAUAUUUUUCUUAAUAAGGAUUUUACUUUUAAAAGUGAUGUAUGAAUUUUGAAUUUGACUGCAUUUUGAUACCUGUC